GGAAAAACUGUUUUAUAUUUGUUUUAUAAUAUAGCACAAAGAAAUAGAAAGAAAAAAAAUUUCCGACGUUUCGAUGUUGACAUUCAGUUAUAUCAACACGGCUCUUAGCCAAUCAGCGUUCAGAAUUUACAAAUGCUAUAUUAUAAUAUUAAAUCUUAUUUACACACAUACAAGCAACGGUAGCCCUUCAGCAAAAUAUUGUAGCAAAGCUGAUUUCCAAGGGGCCGUUGACUAAUAAAAAAAAUAAUAAAUAAAAAGGAUCAAAAUGUAUACACACAGUCUUAAACAUAUACCCUAUAUACAUGAUAUACACACCCACCCUCCCACCCAUUCAUAUUGUGCAAUAUUGGAAAAAUUAUCAACUACAUUACAUAAUUGUG